AGUGAACGCUGGCGGUAGGCCUAACACAUGCAAGUCGAACGGCAGCACAGUAAGAUCUUGCUCUUACGGGUGGCGAGUGGCGGACGGGUGAGGAAUACAUCGGAAUCUACUUUUUCGUGGGGGAUAACGUAGGGAAACUUACGCUACUACCGCAUACGACCUACGGGUGAAAGCAGGGGAUCUUCGGACCUUGCGCGAUUGAAUUAGCCGAUGUCGGAUUAGCUAGUUGGCGGGGUAAAGGCCCACCAAGGCGACGAUCCGUAGCUGGUCUGAGAGGAUGAUCAGCCACACUGGAACUGAGACACGGUCCAGACUCCUACGGGAGGCAGCAGUGGGGAAUAUUGGACAAUGGGCGAAAGCCUGAUCCAGCCAUACCGCGUGAGUGAAGAAGGCCUUCGGGUUGUAAAGCCCUGUUGUUGGGAAAGAAAAGCAGCAGGUUAAUACCCCGAUGUUCUGACGGUACCCAAAGAAUAAGCAACGGCUAACUUCGUG
rnacentral:rRNA from 1 species